rnacentral:rRNA from 1 species
GAGUUUGAUCCUGGCUCAGAACGAACGCUGGCGGCGCGUCUUAACCAUGCAAGUCGAGCGGGAAUAUAGGGCUUGCCCUGUAUGAGAGCGGCGGACUGGUGAGUAACACGUAGAUGACGUACCCUUCGGACAGGGACAGCCUGUAGAAAUAGAGGGUGAUACCUGGUACGCUGGUGCAUUUAGAGAUGCAUUAGGAGAGGAGCUAAGGCUCUGCCGAGGGAGCGGUCUGCGGCCCAUCAGCUAGACGGCGGUGCAAAGGACCACCGUGGCGAUAACGGGUAUCCGGCCUGAGAGGGCGGACGGACACAUUGGGACUGAGAUACGGCCCAGACUCCUACGGGAGGCAGCAGGUAAGAAUAUUCCGCAAUGGACGAAAGUCUGACGGAGCGACGCCGCGUGCGCGAAGAAGGCCGGAAGGUUGUAAAGCGCUUUUUAAGUUGAGGAAAGACCUUAUGAGUGAAUGCAUGAGGGGUGACGGUAGACUUGGAAUAAGCACCGGCUAAUUACGUGCCAGCAGCCGCGGUAACACGUAAGGUGCGAGCGUUGUUCGGAAUUAUUGGGCGUAAAGGGCAUGCAGGCGGUUCGCCAAGCCCGAUGUGAAAUACCGUAGCUUAACUACGGGGCUGCGUCGGGAACUGGCGAGCUUGAGUUGCUGAAGGGCAUCCGGAAUUCCGCGUGUAGGGGUGAAAUCUGUAGAUAUGCGGAAGAACACCGGUGGCGAAGGCGGGAUGCUGGCAGCUGACUGACGCUGAGGUGCGAAGGUGCGGGGAGCAAACAGGAUUAGAUACCCUGGUAGUCCGCACAGUCAACGAUGUGCACUGGGCGUGCGUACAUGAGUGCGCGUGCCGAAGCGAACGCGAUAAGUGCACCGCCUGGGGAGUAUGCCCGCAAGGGUGAAACUCAAAGGAAUUGACGGGGGCCCGCACAAGCGGUGGAGCAUGUGGUUUAAUUCGAUGGUACGCGAGGAACCUUACCUGGGUUUGACAUGCACAGUAAUUAUGUAGAGAUACAUACGCGCAGCAAUGCGACUGUGAACAGGUGCUGCAUGGCUGUCGUCAGCUCGUGCCGUGAGGUGUUGGGUUAAGUCCCGCAACGAGCGCAACCCCUACUGCCAGUUACUAACAGGUAAUGCUGAGGACUCUGGCGGAACUGCCUGCGACAAGCAGGAGGAAGGCGGGGAUGACGUCAAGUCAUCAUGGCCCUUAUGUCCAGGGCGACACACGUGCUACAAUGGCCGUUACAGAGCGGAGCAAAGCCGAGAGGCGGAGCAGAACGCAUAAAGGCGGCCUCAGUACGGAUUGAAGUCUGAAACUCGACUUCAUGAAGCUGGAAUCGCUAGUAACCGCGCAUCAGCACGGCGCGGUGAAUACGUUCCCGGGCCUUGUACACACCGCCCGUCACACCAUCCGAGUGGGGGGUACCCGAAGCCGGCUGUCCAACCGUAAGGAGGACGCUGUCGAAGGUACGCUUCGUGAGGGGGGUGAAGUCGUAACAAGGUAGUCGUACCGGAAGGUGCGGCUGGAUCACCUCCUUUUCUAUGA